UCCAAAAAAGCCCAACUCCAAGUUACAUUUUUUUUUUUUUUUGAUAAGCAACUCCAACUCCAAGUUAAACCAUUUUCAUCAUCAUCAACAUCGUAACUCUCUUCACCGUCGCCAUCAUCAUCAACCUCGCCAUUAACGCCAUCAUCACCCUCGUCAUUAACGCCGUCAUCACCCAACAUCACUUCAUCCAUCGCCGUCGCCAUUAACGCCGUUCAUCAUCAACAUCAUUUCAUCAUCUUCACCGUCGCCAACAUUUGAAGGAACCAAACACAAAAUGGUGAAAAGAAAACAUGAUAUCAGAAUCAUGUUGUCGUUAGUUAUUAAGUUUAGUUGAGCACAAAAUGUGACAAUUGAGUUCAAUGAGAACAAGAGAAAGCUUUGAAGUGCUUCUUGAGCCUUCUUAGAAGCCUCAGAGAAAGCUGGUGAAGCAAAUUUCAAAGCUUCUUUCCCAGCCUGCUGCACAAUUGGCAACCCGGCAUCGAUUCCCGGCUUCAAAAAAUUCCCUAUAGCUUCAAGACCACGUUCUGCCAAGUCCAAAAAACCUUGAACCUGAUCAAUUGUUUGCUCCACCUACAAAAACAAAAAUGCAAUUUUAGCAACUGGGUAAGGUAGAAAUUUGUUAAAGUUUGAAACUUUGGAAGAAAAACUUACUAGGGUGAUAGAAGUAACAAUUUGGUCCACGGAUAUGGCAGCUCUGGCUUCUUUUGGAAUGGUGAAGAGAGAAAGUAGUGAAAUGGUGGUUGAAGUUGGUAAUGAUAUGCGUUUAAAUUGAGGUUUUGAGAAGGUGGUGAUUGUGUGAGGUGAAGUUGAGAGAAUUGAGUUCAACAUCUGCAUAUUCAUGAGUCCAACAUUAUUUGACUUAUGUACCUUGGUUCUUAGUAGUUUAGUACUUGUAAAAAGUAAAAAUAAAUUAAGUUGUGAAGCUGUUUGUUA